CAUCGUUCAAAGAAGCCAAAAGAAAAAAAAAUGGAAGAAAAUUAAUGUCAACAUGGUCCUCAUUAUGACGUUAUUUGAUUUUCGUUCUUUUCGACAUCGUCGAUCUCCACUGGCCUUUUUGAUGAACCUUCAAUUGUGUUUUAUCACCAAAAUUACUCGAGAAAUAGCUAAGUAAAAUAUACUUUCCUCAGAUACAAGCAAGUAUAGAUAAAUUAUUCAUUUACUUUGAAGAUGAUAUUUAAUUUAGGAGAAUGAAAAUUUUAUACAAAUAUUUUCCUGUAUAAUCAUAGAUAUGUACACGCAUAGACUCAGUUUAAAAGGGUAGAUGUGAGAAGCCAGAUCCGGCUGGUUUGAGCAUAAAACAAGAAGAAUAUUUGGGUUGGAAAAACCCAGAUAUGUCCUGUCUAAAUACUAAUGGGUUAAUAUUGAUUUCAAAUUUUGGUCAAUUACAUCCACCGAAAGGACGGAAGGAAAAGUCAGCCUCGCGGAAUUGGAACUCGAACGUAAAACCGGACCAAAUGCAGCUAAGCAUUUUGUUCGGCGUGCUAAGGAUUCUGCCAGAAGAGUUGCUGGUAAAAAGCGGACUAGAAUGAAAAAUGCGGGCGCAUGAAGUAUUGAACCCGGAAAAGUACAGAACCCAGAAAAGUACAGAAAAAUAGAGGACAAGAAGAAAAUAAAACUUAGUA
rnacentral:lncRNA from 1 species